GAUGAACGCUGGCGGCGUGCCUAAUACAUGCAAGUCGAGCGAACAGACGAGGAGCUUGCUCCUCUGACGUUAGCGGCGGACGGGUGAGUAACAUGUGGAUAACCUACCUAUAAGACUGGGAUAAUUUCGGGAAACCGGAGCUAAUACCGGAUAAUAUAUUGAACCGCAUGGUUCAAUCGUGAAAGACGGUUUUGCUGUCACUUAUAGAUGGAUCAGCGCCGCAUUAGCUAGUUGGUAAGGUAACGGCUUACCAAGGCGACGAUGCGUAGCCGACCUGAGAGGGUGGAAGGCCACCCUGGAAGGGAGACAGGGCACCGACUCCUACGGGAGGACACGGUAGAGAAUCCUACGCGAGGGACGAGAGGCUAACAGUGCACAGCCGGGUGAAGGAUGAACGUCUUCGGCUCGGAGAACUCUGUUAGUCGGAAAGAAGAAAUGUGUAAGUAACCAGGAACGUAUUGACGGUACCGAAAGAGAAAGCCACGGCUAACUACGUG
rnacentral:rRNA from 1 species